AUCUUUGUGCAGUGGCAGUAUCAUAGCUUGUGAGGUUGAACUGAGGCAUGAUCGUUGCUAGUUGAAAACUUUUACCAAUACCUAGCACAACAGGGUUUUGAUGCUCACUGAGGCCUCUGGGCU
rnacentral:snRNA from 1 species